rnacentral:lncRNA from 1 species
AAGAAUACUUGCCCAAAUAAUGGCUGCAUUGUCACCUCGGUCACUUUAAAAUAUGGGCUCCACAUUUCACCUUCCCCUCACACCACAUAUAUUUACACGAUGCAAUAAAAGAUUGUAUGUCAAUCUCAUGCCUUGUUUUGAAAUCGAUUAAGUAAAAAAUGGUACCCUUAUGUGUGCACUUGCCAGAGAGGUGCAUUCAAUACUUCCCUACUUGAGGGGAUCGCAUAUACUAAAUUAAAAUGCAGUGAUCACAUCACAAAUUAUAAAUUGUUUUCUUAAUUUACACACACCGUACACCUGCUUUCCCAAAUCGGCAUUACCAUAUCACCAUAUAUCCAACCUUUAGGCGCAACAGGCAACCUACAAUUGGAGUGAUGGUUUAGUAAGAAAGAACAUUUAGCACAAAGAAAGAUGAAUUUUGAAAGAAAAAAACUUAGAAAAAAUUGAUGCUCGACUCACUACUAAUACCAUCUAAUAAUAUGCAAGAUAGUAAUAAGAGGUCAAGCCAAUCAAGUGAAAGACGUUUGAACUGGAAUUAGACACAUUGUACAUCAUCAAUCAUUAGGAGCUGGACCCCAUAGAAUCUUUUCGGGUUCAGUUGUAUGAUUAGAAUUUGGCUUCAAACUAACUAAACUAAAGAGUUUUUUUUUCUUGUCCACCCUUCAGUUGCCAAAUUAUGAUUCAUAAAGUUAUAGCGCAUCUUGGAAAUGUUAUAAUAGUUUUGGUUACACGGUUCAUGAUAUACCUAUGGAUAUUAUACUGACUGAUAGUCCAUGGUUCAUUUGAGCUCACUUUGGCGCGAAUGCAGUGAUGAAGGUUCGACAUGCAGUUUCGGAUUUCCCUUCUCAUUCAGUGCAGCUUCCCUCAUGAUGUAUGCCACAUGCUAAUAUGAACUUUCUCAUUGUAUAUAAAUUUUCAUGAGAGAAAAAGAGAAAAGAUGCUCCAGUUUUCCUUGCAGCUCAAUUUUCACACCCUUCCCAGGUUAAUAUUCACUAUUUUCUUUGGACCAUCUUUAUGCUGCCUUUUCUCUGUACACACCUCAUCAAAACUGAACAAAGAGGCAUCACAUAGGUUUAGAUGGCGCGUGUGAACAUGGUUUAAGAUAUGAUGUUUCUUGGAGAGAGCAAACUUACCUUUUCCAUUUCAUGGUUUAUUAACUAAAAUAUUGAUCGACGGCACAUUCUGAUGCUUCAGCUUUGUUUUUGCCUUCUUGUCACUUAAUUAGGCACUAUAGUAAGAAAGCAUACUGAAUGAGACUCGAAGGAAUUUUGAUGUCAACUUGUAAUUAGCAAAACUUAAAAUGAUCUCUUUAAACAAGUAUCAGAUUAAAGAAACCAAUAUAGAACCAUAUUAAAUAGGGACUGAGCUUAGCUGGAAGGUGAGAAAGAAAUUACAAUUGCUAUUGGUGCAACAUUACAAAAUUUAGCUUAGCUAUCUAUCAGAUUUCUUGACUCAAAUUCCAGCUAGCAAAGAAGAAGAAUGAAUCCCCAGAAAAACCAUGCUAAACGAAAUAGAGACUCAUCGAUUGACCUCAAUCACAUUAUUUGUUAAAUAGAGACUGAGCAAAGAGGGAAGGUCAGAAAGAAAUUACAAUUGCUAUUGGUGCAACAAUACAAAUUUUAGCUUAGCUAUCUAUCAGAUUUCUUGACGCAAAUUCUAGCAAGCAAAGACGAAGAUUGAAUCCCCAAAAAUCCAUGCUAAACCAAAUAGAGACUCAUUGAUUUACCUCAAUUAAAUUGUUUAUAAAACAUUGUACAUGAACUUGUUUUAAAUACAUGACAAAAUCUAGCUGAGCUAAACCUUCCUGGAAUCUUAUGUGGAUUUUUAGAGUUUAGACCAAGGAGAAAUGGGGAAAUAAUUCAUGAUAGAGGGUAGUGCAUGCAGGAGCCUCCGAAUAGCGGGUAGCCUAGCGAGGUUUGUAGGAAAAAGGUGGCUUUUGUCUCAUCAGUGAGUUUGUUGCCCAAUGCCCGUGCUACUGAUAUAAUGUCGUUCAUGACAUACCUCGCCCAGUUCCAAUUUGGGAUGUCAUCUAAAUUUUCAAGAGCCACAAAAUAUGCUGGAAGAAUAACUACAGAUCAAAUGGACCUCAAACUUUAUCUCACCGUGAACACCACAUAAAUCACAUUCUAACAUGGAGGCCUCAGCCAUCGCCAAGGCAUCUCAUGGAACAUGGGGGAAACUCCAAAUCGAACAGAGCAACACAAAAAUAGGAAUCAGGCAUGAGGAAAGGGGAAUAAGCUAACCUGGGUAAUGGGAUCAGCAGGUCGAGGAGGGUGCCACCGUGCCAGCGGCCUCCACAAGGAUAAUCUUGCACACGAUGUCGCCUCAAGCAAUGGAUCGCAACCACCAGAACCGAAGCACUUGUUGUUCAUGGUUUCAGUUAUGAGAUAUCCCGUCAACUGAGGUACAAAUCACAAAUAGGUCAGCUCACGAGCUAAAGAAUAUAAUCUUAUCCAAGAAAAGACAAAAUAGUCCAGAGCAGCAAAGCUUUAUUAAGUUCUUUACUAAGAAAGCGAACUUAGUAAUUACAGCCCAAACAGAGAAUAAAUGGUUUAGAACAGGCAUAAAUCUGAUCCAUCUUCCAUCAUCAAUAAUAAAGAUAGGAAAUCUUGAAAUCCUUGAUCCAAACAUCAGAAGUCACAAAAGUCGAAGCAAACAGUGAACUGAAAAUUACUCCGAAAAAAACUUUUAUUUUGUUGACUCUAGACGAAGCCCAUGCUUUGUUGUCCUGGCAAUACAACAAAUUACUGGCCCAAGCUUGAAGUACUAACAAGAACGAAUCCCUUUCGUUAUUAAUUCAUUCAAUGAACAGCAGAGAAAAUGGAUGCUUGUGCAGGCAUCGUAAUGAAUGGUACUUGAUUUAGAGAAAUAACUAUGCUAAUAUAUGACUUCGCUAACUAAUCAAUCUGCUGCAAUCACAGUUGGUGCAUAACACUAAACGAGCACUUGUGAUCAGGGCAACGGUUAUAGAUAAGUAAAGAGAAAUUACAAAACAAGGUAUGACGAGACUACCAAAUCAGCCUGAGAAAGUAGAAAGUAGGAUCAACGGAAACAUAACAAAGGAAACAGAAUAAUGAAUAUUUAGUGGAGAUGAGCUAGUUGAACCUACAGGCCAGAGGAAGAGCUCACCGGAAGGUUAGGCCAGCGAAUUUGGGACCGAUCCCUAGAAGGAAGAAGCGAAGAACUAAAGAACACAUCUUGUUCACGCCUAACUAUGUUGUGCAAUUGUGCCGAUGGCCUCGUCGUCUAAGGCAAAUACAUGUCUCCAUCAUAAAUCAAAAGCGUGAACUGGGAGGACUUCUGCAAUUGCUAAGCGAAUCAUGCAUACAACCAUGACAGUGGCUACAAAUUUGAGUUUCUUCACCUCCCGAUGCAAUUACAACAUAUGAUUAUGCACAUAUAUAAUAGUAGUAUGAUGGAUUAACUACCAUCAAGAAGAGAACAUAAACUGACAGAUUUUCCGGUAAAAAAAACUGGCUGCAUUAAUGUUUACCUUUCCCACUGCAUAACCAAAUGUCAUUAACUAUCAAAUUAGUCGCAAAUAAGCCAAAUAUCACCAACGGGUUGCUACCUUGAUGCUUUAUAUUUCUUCUAUGUGUCUUGCUGUCCCCUUCAAGUAACUGACGCGCCCGGUCGAUCCCAAAGGUUGCUAUUUCCUUGUGGAGUUUCUUAUUGACAUAGAUCUGAACAAAAAUGGAGGGACCAAAUAAAUUUCAGAUUUAGGAGUCAGGAACUAACAGUUGUAAAUCCACACCAAUGAACACAAAUACAACCUGAUUAUGUGGCAGACCUUUAACAGGAAAGGUAAAAUCUGUAGCAUAGUUUGCAACUUAAAAUUAUAGGUCACUAAAGUGCAUGCCACAACAUAAGCAAAAUUCAUCUAACAAACCUCGAGCUUGUGUACGACUGUCUUAUUAAGCACAUCAUGCUGACAUGCAAACUCGUGAUUGGAAAAAAGAAGUUACUCUAGCGAAAACUGGUGCUAAGCAGUAAUGGGAGCUAGAGGGAGCACCGCUUCUGAACAUUCUAAAACAAUGAAAAGGCGUGCUUACAUCUAUGAAGCUAAAAAUAGUACACCGAACCAUAUUGAUUGAAUACGGGUAACAACGGAAAAACAAUUAAUUGGAGUGCAGAAUCUGCAUAGAAUAGAACCGGAACACAUCAAUCUAGGCAUCUAACUAGCUUCUGCCAUCAGGGUUGCUUGCUAAUUGCAACAAUAUUCAUAACUGAAGAUUCAAUGAGAACUACCAAGGGAUAAAAAAAGGGAACUGAAUCUGUUCACUCAAUGUGUGCAUGACCUGCAAUGUCCUCACAUAUGAGUAAUUCAUCAAAGAAACCAUAAAAAAUUCAUCAAACAAAAAACACAAAUGGAAGGCAAGCUUACCUGAAUGGGGAUUGCCCGUGACCUGGAUCUCGUCGUUCGCGUGCUGGUGAUCUGCUACUAUUUGAACAACAACUCUGCCCGCUGAUGCUGUCCAAACUGUGCAAAUUUAUCCAUACUAUCCCUGCAAUUGUUAAGAUCAAAAUCAGCAUCUUUUACAACUAAUGCAGAGUAUGAAUUUCUCGGCAGACAAAAAAGGCUUUGUAGAUUCAGUAUAGUUGACACAAACAAAAUGCAGUACCUGCUUUCCUCAAGAACCCGUGUCUGAAAGAUGUGGAGAGAAAAUUGCAAAAUAUGAGCAUUAGUACUUCUUAGGUAUCACAGAAAUUCAAUGCAACUUCAACAAGACCAGCGCUUGCUUUUCACACUAUUGAAAAUUCACGUCUUCCAUAUUUGAUCCACCUUUCCGCUGGGCAAAACAACAAAUAUGUGGGGGCAAAAUAUCUAUUUAUGCUCAGAAAAGAAAUUACCAAAUAUCCGGCCACGAGCGCGUGUGUGAGAGGACCGAGGAGAGAGUGUGCGUGACAGCGAGAGAGGAUGAAGGCAAGGACGUGGGGGCUGAUCUCUCGGGUGGAUGGACGGCAGCGCGAAAGCCGGACGGAGCUGGCCGUCUCUGCAGCCCACGCUCCUCUUGCCGACGAUGGCGCCGUGGACCACCGCUGCGACUCAAGCUCCUCCCGGGGUCGCUGCUGCACGCGUGGAGAUGGAGGCGGGGUGCAGCCUUCCGUGCAUCGCGCACGAGCCCCAGCCUCCUCGCAGCUCCCGAUCCAGGAACGGGUCGAGCCGCCGCCAACCGUCAGAUCGAGCCCGACCUCGCCGGCGCAGGCCGACGCCGGCCGGUGACCCUCUCCCGUCAGCCGCCACACCUCACUCUCCUCUUCCCUCUCUCUUUCUCCCUCCUCUCCUUCCUUCUCUCUCUCUCAUCUUCUCUCUCUGCCGGGGUUCGUGCGGGAGGAGGGGAUUGGGAAGGCGGCGCAAAGGAGAGGGAGGAAGGAGAGGAGGCAGUGCGGAUAUUUUCUAGGGCUCGGCUCACUCCACCCAGAACGAGGUACACCUUAGUCAUGAUAAAAAGCAACUGAUUACUG